AUGAAUGUAAAGGGAGAGAUUACCCUUGACACCCGAAUCAGGGUGUACUUGCGGUAACGCCGAAGGAGUAAACCACCGACAAGCGGGAGGUGAAUCUCUCAGGCAAAAGGACUUUUACGGGACG
rnacentral:ncRNA from 2 species